AAAAAAAAAGACAUCAAUGCUGUGAGUUUUCUGCUUUUCUUUUUUCUUUUUUUCUUUUUUUUUUUUGUCUU
rnacentral:ribozyme from 1 species